rnacentral:rRNA from 1 species
UGAAUGCUGGCGGCGUGCCUAACACAUGCAAGUCGAACGGAGUCCAGCCUUUAAGACCUUCGGGUCAAAGAGGGGAAGACUGAGUGGCGGACGGGUGAGUAACACGUGGGCAACCUGGCUCAUAGAGGGGGAUAACAGAGAGAAAUUUCUGCUAAUACCGCAUAAGCACACACUGCCGCAUGGCAGAGGGUGAAAAGAGAAUCGCUAUGAGAUGGACCCGCGUCUGAUUAGCCAGUUGGCAGGGUAAGAGCCUACCAAAGCGACGAUCAGUAGCCGAUCUGAGAGGAUGAACGGCCACAUUGGGACUGAGACACGGCCCAAACUCCUACGGGAGGCAGCAGUGGGGGAUAUUGCACAAUGGGGGGAACCCUGAUGCAGCGACGCCGCGUGAGUGAAGAAGUAUUUCGGUAUGUAAAGCUCUAUCAGCAGGGAAGAUAAUGACAGUACCUGAAUAAGAAGCCCCGGCUAACUACGUG